rnacentral:rRNA from 1 species
GACGAACGCUGGCGGCGUGCCUAAUACAUGCAAGUCGAACGGAAUCGCGUUGAUAUUGUGGGGUGUUGGUGCGGAGAGAUGGACAGUUGAGUGAGUGUCGGAUGGGCUAGUAACUCGUGGGUAAUCUGCCCUAUAGUGGUAGUACACAUUUGGAAACAGAUCCUCAUACCGGGGGAAGGCUAACACCGCAGGGUGGGGGUGUACUAGAUGGUUUCGGGUAUGUCGUUAGGGUGGACGCGCGGUGAAUUAGUUAGUUGGUGAGGUAAAGGCUCACCAAGACCGUGAUGCAUAGCCGACCUGAGAGGGUAAUCGGCCACACUGGGACUGAGACACGGCCCAGACGCCUACGGGAGGCAGCAGUAGGGAAUCUUCCACAAUGGACGAAAGUCUGAUGGAGCAACGCCGCGUGAGUGAAGAAGGUGUUCGGAUCGUAAAACUCUGUUGUUGGAGAAGAAUGUAUCUGAUAGUAACUGAUCAGGUAGUGACGGUAUCCAAACAGAAAGCCACGGCUAACUACGUG